rnacentral:lncRNA from 1 species
CCAAAAUAGGCCAGAUCUUGUUCCCAUGCCCAAGGACUUCUACACCCUCCCUGACACAGCAGGUAUCUCCCAGUGGUCAGCACAUCCCACCCUGCCCUCAGAGCACGCAGUGCCUCUCGCAGACCCUUGGCAGCAAGCAGGGACUGUGCCAAACUAGACAUUUGCUGUUCCUUCAUUGCUGGGCUUUCUAAAAUAUUUUCUCUACCCCUGCAGGUGAUGUGGGAUUUCUCACCUUCUGAAAAUCCUGUUCAUGCUGCUGCUUCAUACCACUGGUUUCCCAAGUUGGUGCUGUAACUUCCUCAUUUGCCAUGGAAGGAUUGCUAUCUCAACUCACCUGCGUUGUUUAAAAUCUGGUUGGAUGCAAAAGCCCUUGAAAGCAACUCUGUCACCUGCAGAGCAGCAAGGAAGCCCCUCAGGCUGGUCUGGUGCCUGGUAGUGUGUUGGUAAGUGGGGAAAAGAUCUAGAUGUGAAACUGUGAAAUUAGGUAGAAGCUCAAACAGUGAAUCCUUGGGGCAUUUUUAAAGUAGUCCUGUUGGAUGGCGGGGGGGGGGGGGGGGGGGGAGUGUAUUUAUUUGAUUCAUUGUUGAUUUUUUAUUUUAUUUGUGUUUUUGUGUGUGCCUGUUGGGGCAUUUUUGAUAUCUUAUUGUCCAAGUUUCCAGAGAUGUAAUCUUGGAUUAGCAUGUGGCUAAACACUUAGAAGCAAUUAGCCACUGCUGUUCUCCUAGAAAGGUAUUUCUAAAAUCAGGUAUGAAAGCCUUGUAGUAUAAACUGCACAGAGGAACAAACCUAUAUUUUUUUUUUUUAUGCAUUGGGUCUGAAACAAAAUAUACAGUGGCUAAAUCUUACCAUGGUCAGAAGUUUUAGGCAGAGGAGCAAACACCUGUUUCCACCAGCCAGAAAAUAAGGAUAACUUACAUUUGUAACCUCAGUUUACAGUCUGGCUCAGUUGGAGCUUAAUUCUGUUUUGUCAGGUUGGCCAAGAAAGAAGACCCCAAAUCUCAUUUCCAGAGAGGUUCUUGGCAUUUGACACCAUUGGAUCUAUUGAAACAGUAGCAUUGCUUGAGCGUAACUGGCACUGUACUAGUCCACUGAAAGAUAUAAAGCCAAGAAUUUCAGGCCCUAAUCUUGCAAAUCCUCAC